GGUAAAAAAAAGGUAAGCUACUAAGAGCGAAUGGUGGAUGCCUUGACUGGUAAAGGCGAUGAAGGACGUACUAGACUGCGAUAAGCUACGGGGAGCUGUCAAGAAGCUUUGAUCCGUAGAUUUCCGAAUGGGGCAACCCAAUGUAUAGAGAUAUACAUUACCUAUAUAGGAGCGAACGAGGGGAAUUGAAACAUCUUAGUACCCUCAGGAAAAGAAAUCAAUAGAGAUUGCGUCAGUAGCGGCGAGCGAAAGCGCAAGAGGGCAAACCCAGUGCUUGCACUGGGGGUUGUAGGACUGCAAUGUGCAAGAGCUGAGUUUAG
rnacentral:rRNA from 1 species